UCCUGACCUCGUGAUCCACCCUCCUCGGCCUCCCAAAGUGCUGGGAUUACAGGCGUGACCCACUGUGCCCGGUUGAGAUUUCUAUGCCUCUUUACCCUCUCUGCCCUGAAACUUUUUGUAGUACAAAUCAUACAAAGUCAUAAGUGGGGAUGUCACAAUUUACCCCGUCAGGGAAAGCAGACAUUUACAAGUACUUAAAAUAAAAUGAGAAUGUUAUAAGGGAAGAAACUCAUGUGAGGGGACUUGGUUGCUUAAAGAUCAGGAAUGUCUCUGAAGUAAUGACAUCUAAGCUGGGAACUGAAGGAUCACCAGGAAUUAGACCAAUGGGAAUGUGGGUGGGUAUUCCAGGCAGAAAGUAGGAUACAUUUGAAAGUACAGAGGUGAGGCCCUCAGGGAAAGUCGUGGAGCUAAGAGAGAUUUGGACCAUAUGUGGAGAGGAAGAGAGGAAGGACAUGAAGUUAGAGGGUCUAGGGACUUCUCUGCAGGGUGGAUUAAGGGAUCAAGGGACACACAGAGCCAGGGAUACUAAUGAUGUUAGUAGACAGCAAGAGAUCUUGGAAGGAACCUGGGAAGGGGCAGUCAGAAAUGCAGAAUAAAAACCAGAAAUGAGUAAUGACAUACAAGACAACUAGUGAGGGAAAAUUCACUUUGUGAAAAGGGCCAACAAUGUGUCAACUACAGCAAGGAAGUCAAGGCUGAAAAGGCUAAAAAGUGGCUGUGGGAUCAAUUAAUGAAGGCAGCGUUGAGGCCUUGGUGAGCACAGUUGUGAGAGAAGAGGUAGAAACCAAAUCGUAGCAGUGGAAAAACAAAUGAAGCUUGAAGAACAGAAGGUGUUUUAAAGAAAGCUGUCUGUUGGGAAGUGAAGGAAGGUGACGUUCCUACAAAAAGAGAAGUACACCAUAACGUUGGUAUGAGUGAAAUCAUUCAUUUUUCACUGAACGCUUACUUCAUGCUGGGACCUAAGCAACAACUGUGGCGACAAUGGACUUAUUGAGAACGUUGAUUAGAUGACCAAAAGUGCCCGGCCCUUUGCCAAGUGUGAUAGAAAACAGGGAGAAGGUAUCAUCAUCGUUUCACAGAUGCCUACAUUCCAAAGGAUCUCAUCAGAGCAUAAGAGCUCUUCCAGCUGUUGUUUAUCCAUGAAUUAUUAUUGCAAUGCUUAACCGGAGAUAGAAACUCACCAUGAGCGUAUCAACCUUUCCUCUUCAGAAGUUUCACUUCAGUUUGAAAGAAAACGCAACUGGUGAAACAAUUGCUGUGUGUCAUAAAUUAUAGGUAUCUGACAUUCAUUACAAGGAAAGCAACAGUCAAAUAUCAUGGGACUCAUAUUUAUUUAUGUCUAUAUUAUCUGUAGAUAUUAUAGAUAAUAUAUAUGUAUACUUUGACAGAGAAGGAAGAACACCACUCUGGAGUGUUUAAUCUACCAUAGUUUGAUACUGUCUUUCUUGUUUGUGCCAAUUUGAAUUACUUGGUUCUGUUUUUUGGUUAUCUGCAAUUAGUGUGCUAUUUAUUUCCAGAAUAGAGGAAACUGAAGCUUACUCUGUGUACACAAAAGAAUACUGUACCCAUUCAGUCAUGUACAAAUAGAGUUAUCUCAUGGAAAA
rnacentral:lncRNA from 1 species